CACAAAGACAUUGGUCAUCUCAGAGAACUAUUAAAAUAAUAAGAACCAAUCAAUCUCCAAAAUUAUUGCACUGAAAACCAUUCUCUCAAUGGCUGGGUGGCAUGCUCACUGGGAGAGCUGAGACGUAUGCUUCACGAAUACAGAGCAGUAACUUUGUUUUAGGAUGACAAAAAUCCUGGAUAUCUUUUCUGAGACAUUUGGCAAGUUUUGGGGGUAUAUCACUAGGUACACUGCCAGUAUAAGGGACACCAUAUAGUCCUAUGCCAUGAGCUUCAUUUCCCCCAGCUGCCUCCCACCUGUGCUCCUGGUUGGGACCCUGGCAUCUUUGCCAAGGAACUUAGUUACCAUCGUCAUUGAAAACACUGAGUUCACGUUGCAGAUGCUGAUGAGCAUAGGCCAACCAGGAAACGAUAUCUUCUUUGGGGUUGCAGAUGCCGUGAAAGACACAGAAGCCCUUAAUGGAUUAAUGAGCAAAUGCAAGCUCUAUGUCCAUGCAAACAACUAUCUCCACAGUUCUAUGUUGAGAAGAGCUUUUGCAUCUUGCCUCAACCCAUUAUGCAGAGCAGGUGAUAAAUAAUUUCCUCAAAAACAGGCAUGCCACAUGGAAGCAGAUUGGGUUGUACACUCAGAUGAUGACAACUUUUGCAGGAAAUCCCCGCAUUUGGAAGUUAACAAUUAUGAGGAAAAUUUUACUUCAGUAACACGAGCAGAGUGGUCUCUAUUCAAGCCUAA
rnacentral:lncRNA from 1 species